rnacentral:rRNA from 3 species
UCGGCAACGGAUAUCUCGGCUCUCGCAUCGAUGAAGAACGUAGCGAAAUGCGAUACGUGGUGUGAAUUGCAGAAUCCCGUGAACCAUCAAGUCUUUGAACGCAAGUUGCGCCCGAGGGACCCUCCCGAGGGCACGC